UAGAUUUUUGAAAUUUAUUCAAAUGCUAUUUUGAACUUGACUAAUUGAAGAAAUGAUGAAAGUUUUUUAAACCUACUCUAUGAAGACAAACGCAGUAAUUAUAAUUCAAUAUAAUCUAAUACAACUGAAUUAUUUAUUAUGAAAUUAAAAAAAAAUUUUGGGACCUGGUAAUUUAUCGUAAAUUUAAAAAUUAUUUAGUUGUCUUACUUCAAAUAAAAAUGAUCUGGCAUGAGUGAGUGGUCCACACAGAAGCGUUGAGUUUGAAGUAUUUUUUAAGGUUAGAAAUCAUACAUUUUUUUUCCUUCUUGGCUAUGGUCCCUAUUGGGCCACUUGCCACUAGAAAUCAUACGUUAUGUCUCCAAACAACAAUAAUCUUUGCAAUAAAACCGAAAGUGAGAGACAACCAACGAUUUUGGGAUUGUUUUUUUCAACAAAUAAAUUACAGAAUGACAAAAACUAAAAAUAUGCAUUUGUUGAAAAUUCAAAAACCUGUAGGUACUAUUUUUUUAAACAUUUUUUUUCUCAUAAUUUAUUGUUUUGAGAACAAAAUCCAAAAAUUAUUAGAGGUUGACUAACUUCAGAUUAUUUUUUUGCAGUAUUCUUGCCAGCAAAUAGAGAAACAUUAUUUUGAAAAAUUUGAAUAUUAGUAAAUCAUAAUAAUAUAUAUUUCAAGGAGUGUUUGAUAUCUGACAGUACUGGAAAUAGCAGAUGUCUGAAAAUUUGUUUAAUUUGUAAAUAAAUUACAUGCUAUUAAUUGAAACAACUUAGUUUAUUAAUUUUGCAGAUAAAAAUUUUGAAAAGUUAUUGGAGUGAGUUUUUUAAAAUUAUUUUAAAUUUAUUUUAAAAAAAUAAUAAUUUCGAUAAGUGUUAAUGUAGCUGACAGUUGGUAACUUUUUUAUUUUUUGAAUAAAUAAAUAAAAUUGAAGUAGAAUAAAAAAAAUGUGUAUUUAAGUGCUUUCUGAAAUGCGUUGCGAGCAGCUAAAGUGAAAGACAGCAGCAGACCGUGCAAGUGCAGUGUAGUAGCACAAUUUUUGCGCGAAACACUUACGUGUAUUUUUUUAAAAAUCACGAUUUUGGCCCAUUUUUACUACCUAGGGACCCUCUGCGUGGCUUCUUCAUAGAUUCUUGGUUCAUACACAUAAAUUGUAAUGAAGCUAUUAAAUUUUAAUUCUCAAAUUUUGCGCCAAAUCGAUGCUAAUGCGCGUUGCUGUAUUCAUCGUUCAAAUUUUUGUUAGAGAGUGGGCGUUUUAAUGAAUCGCAAAGUCGAUUUCUUUGUGCUAGCCAGUUGACGAGUUUCAAUAUACUUCGGUAAUUAGUUACCUAACAAGAUUUACCUUUCCGGCGAUUGAAUUUCUGUUCAACGUGAUAUGAAUUGCCCUUUUUUUUUAAAUUAAAUUUAAAUACUUUUAAAGAGUUUUUCAUUCAUACUUUUUUUUUACAUGUCGGUAAUUAGAGUUGUGUUCAAUUAUCACAUUUUACUAUUGAAGUGUGUGUGUUAUAUAAAUUUUGAGUUUUUAUUUUGAUUUGUUCUUCAUUUAGUGUAAUAUAUAUAAGCUAUUGAACGUAUAUAUAUUUUGAUAUUGACCAAUUUUGCUUUCAAAUUAUCUUGCAUUUGUUGUGUUGGCUACAUUUUUGUUCGGAUGUCUUUUAUGCACCCGCUGUAUUCAACGUUCAAGUUUAGAGAGAAGAAAGUCGUUCACUUCUUUAACGCAAAAAACGAAUGAUAAAAAUUAGCACAUGCGCCAUUCUUCCCGCAAACAAGCAAAAAUUUAAACUUUUAGAUGCCGAUCUGGUGAAAAAUCGCCUUCAGCUCAGUUAGGCAAUUAUACACUCGGGUUGUAAUGUCCUACUUUCCUCCCAUGGUGUGUAAUAUACUAAUUUGUAUUUGAAAUACAAUUCGACUUCUGAUACUUUAACAAUAAAAUUAUUUUUUUGUAACACCGUCACCGGUGUAACUUUGACGCAUUUCCGAAAAUAAAUUUAACACCGAUUACUUCAAUACUGAGAUAGCGUGUAAUUAUCCGGUGUUUUUUACAGUGGGUGUAAUAGAUUUAUGUUCCCACUUCAUCUAUAUUUCAGUAAUUUACAGCUAUUAAAGUUCAAAUUCUAUUGGGUAAUCAGUAAUUGACGACAAAGAUACAACUAAACUCGUCGAUAUAUAUAAAGCGAUACUCAAACUGAAUUCAAGUCGUUUACAAUUUUUGUGUAGUACGAUAUUCACUUAAACGAAUUUUAUUUAAAAAUAAAAUCAUGAACUACCGACAAUUCGAAUUUAUUGCAGUAUUUUUCAGUUUAUUUUUUUCUAUUGCAACUUCACAUAUAGUUCAUUUCUUGAAUAAUGAACAAUUAAAAUAUCAAUGUACAUCAACUUCUGUAAAAGUAUUUUUUACACCUCGUCCAUCUUAUGCUUCAACAAUAAUUGCUAAUCACCGCAUUAAAGAUUGUGAAAGUAACUUUGAAGUCGAUGAAGAGGCAAGAUUCAAGUUUGAUUUCAAUCAAUGUACGUCAGGAUUCAAAAAUUUUCCUUUGAUUGUAUCCGAAUAUCGUCCUAAUCACACGAACUCAAUGUCAUUAUACAAAGUAUACAUCGAUUGUCGAAAACCCGAAACCAUAACUUAUAAUUAUGUCUCAUAAAUUGGUUAAAUAAAUCACAUGUACUUAUAAAAAUUAUGAUGGUAAUAAAAGAUAACAUUUAAAAAAUUA